UGAGGAAUAUUGGUCAAUGGGCGAGAGUCUGAACCAGCCAAGUAGCGUGCAGGAUGACGGCCCUAUGGGUUGUAAACUGCUUUUAUGCGGGGAUAAAGUGUGCCAUGUAUGGCAUUUUGCAGGUACCGCAUGAAUAAGGACCGGCUAAUUCCGUGCCAGCAGCCGCGGUAAUACGGAAGGUCCAGGCGUUAUCCGGAUUUAUUGGGUUUAAAGGGAGCGUAGGCGGAUUUUUAAGUCAGUUGUGAAAGUUUGAGGCUCAACCUUAAAAUUGCAGUUGAAACUGGAAGUCUUGAGUGCACGCAGAGGUGCCGGAAUUCAUGGUGUAGCGGUGAAAUGCUUAGAUAUCAUGAAGAACUCCGAUCGCGAAGGCAAGUGCCUGGAGUGCUACUGACGCCGAGGCUCGAAAGUGCGGGUAUCAAACAGGAUUAGAUACCCUGGUAGU
rnacentral:rRNA from 1 species